rnacentral:rRNA from 1 species
UACGUAGGGCGCAAGCGUUGUCCGGAAUUAUUGGGCGUAAAGAGCUCGUAGGCGGCCUGUUGCGUCCGCUGUGAAAUCCCGGGGCUCAACCCCGGGCCUGCAGUGGAUACGGGCUGGCUAGAGGCAGGCAGGGGAGAACGGAAUUCCUGGUGUAGCGGUGGAAUGCGCAGAUAUCAGGAGGAACACCGGUGGCGAAGGCGGUUCUCUGGGCAUUACCUGACGCUGAGGAGCGAAAGUGUGGGGAGCGAACAGG